AGAUGAACAAGGUGGCGCAGUAUUCUAGUCAAAGUGCGCCGGUAUCGAAGAAGGGCCUAAAAAUCCUUUGAAGGGCAUAUCGAUGAAGUCCCUGGUGCUUGCUUUUUUCGCCCAGAUUAGGGUGGGUGCUGGGGGUUAAGGCUUUCGGGCGAGGUGUAAUGGCAUAUACCGACCGACCCGGAUGCCGUGGAGACCUGUUCUUGUGCGACAGCCGCAAAGUAUCUGUAGUACCCGGACUGCGUACGAAACAGGAUAGAACCUGCAUUGCGGUGCACAGAAUCGUGUGCUGUGUGCAGUGUAGCCUGCCUUGCGUGGCAAUGCGGGAAUAGGGGAGCGAGGCAUUGCGUCCGUGGCCGCGGAUGACGGUGAUAUUGCCCCUUGAAACCAUUGCUGCAAAAGAGGAUAGAACCGGAGCAUAAUGUUGUGGAAAUCACCUAGGCUGUCUUGCAAAAGGGCAGGUAGAGGAUUGCAGUGCGGACUAAGUGGCAAUCGGGUAUCGGCUGUGGCGACACACCGACGAGACUUUAAACGGAAACGCCCCAUUGGCGACAAUGGGCAGUCGAAGGGGAAAACCAACCCGACCUAAGCCGCAAGAUUUACUCUAUCGGCCGCCACCAUUUUAAAUUA
rnacentral:sRNA from 1 species